GGUCAAUAACAUUUACCUGUUCGGGCACUAGCCCAAGAGAAAACCCUAAUCUCUGUUUCUUUUCCGGCGGCCGCCGCCUUGUGCGGUCGCCGGAUCUGCCUUUCGUCCUCUUGUGUGUCUAUGUGUUUCUCUCAAUCUCUUCUCUUUCCCCUUCGUUUUUCUGCCGUAGUGUCGUAGUGAAUGAGCUUUUGCUUGAAGUUCAGAUCCGGUGUUGCUCUCUUCAGAUCUGGAAGUUUCUGGCGUUUGGAGUUGCUUGAGGAUGACCUCUCUUUCUGUCGUGUUCGUCCUCUAUUAUUGUUGCAGACUCUGCGAUUGGUUAUCUCUGUUCCAGCUGGUGCUUCGUGGGCCUCACGAUGGGUUGGGGUUCUAGGUUUCACCAUUCAUGUUGGUUACAUUUUCAGCGGCCAAUGUUAGGUUAUCAUAAGCCAUAAUUAGUGAGAAUUGGUCUUUUAGAGAAGGAUCUCAAAAAUUUGUGUUCUUUUCAAGCCACUGCUGUGGAUAAAAAAGGAGCCAGUUUAAAAGAUCCGAGUUUGUGCUUUAACAAUUUGGACCCUAAUUUUGGAUCUUCGAUAUCAAAGACAAAUGGCACAUAAUAGUGUCAUCUCUGUGAUCUCAUUUUUUCAUGCUUCAGAUGCUAUCUUGUACAUGUUGCAUUGUUCAUGCUUAAAACAUGACAUGAAUUUUUAGUUCA